GAUGAACGCUGGCGGCGUGCCUAACACAUGCAAGUCGAGCGGCAGCGAGGGGUGCUUGCACCCUGUCGGCGAGCGGCGGACGGCUGAGUAACGCGUGGGAACGUGCCCCAAAGUGAGGAAUAACUGCCCGAAAGGGUAGCUAAUACCGCAUAUUAUCUUCGGAUCAAAGGAUUUAUCCGCUUUGGGAGCGGCUCGCGUCGGAUUAGGUAGUUGGUGAGGUAAUGGCUCACCAUGCCGACGAUCCGUAGCUGGUCUGAGAGGAUGACCAGCCAGACUGGAACUGAGACACGGUCCAGACUCCUACGGGAGGCAGCAGUGAGGAAUCUUCCACAAUGGGCGAAAGCCUGAUGGAGCAACGCCGCGUGCAGGACGAAGGCCUUCGGGUUGUAAACUGCUUUUAUAAGUGAGGAAUAUGACGGUAACUUAUGAAUAAGGAUCGGCUAACUACGUG
rnacentral:rRNA from 1 species